rnacentral:tRNA from 1 species
AUUUAAGUAGUUUAUAAAAAAUUUUGAUUUGUGGUGUCAAAGAUAUAAAUUAUUUUAUCUUAAAUA